rnacentral:rRNA from 1 species
AUGGCAAGUAUUGCUCCAAGUGCCGGCUCAACUACAGCAAUGGGACUUGAAGAUGAUGCCAACAACUUUUCCAUGGAUUGGACAUACAUGAUGAAGAUUGUUUCAAUACACCAAAAAGAACCAGUAGCCUCCCCGUGCGUGGGUCAACUUAUGAGUCCGAGUGUGAUGAUAGCCUACAAUCGUCAAUUGGCAUGCGAUUUGAUAGCUGGGAGGCAGGUUUGGCAUUCUAUAGAAUGUAUGCCCAUGAGGUUGGCUUCUCCGUAUGCAUAUGGACACAACACAAAGGAGAGGGUGGUGUAA